CCUACGGGAGGCUGCAGUGGGGAAUAUUCGACAAUGGGGGAAACCCUGAUCGAGCGACACCGCGUUUGGGAUGAAGGUCUUAGGAUUGUAAACCAAUUUUAUAGGGGAAGAACUUUUGUGACUGUACCCUAAGAAUAAGAGGUUGCCAACUCUGUGCCAGCAGCAGCGGUAAUACAGAGACCUCAAGCGUUAUCCGGAUUUACUGGGCGUAAAGCAUGCGUAGGCGGUUGUAGAAGUCUUUAGUUAAAUUUCCAGAGCUUAACUUUGGAACUGCUAAAGAAACCAUACAACUAGAAGAUACUAGGGGCUGAUGGAACCAUCGGUGUAGGGGUGAAAUCCGUUGAUAUCGAUGGGAACACCAAAAGCGAAGGCAGUCAGCUAGGGUAAUCUUGACGCUGAGGCAUGAAAGCGUGGGGAGCAAACAGGAUUAGAUACCCCUGUAGUC
rnacentral:rRNA from 1 species